rnacentral:rRNA from 1 species
AUGAAGGCCUUCGGGUUGUAAACCCCUUUCAGGAGGGAAGAAAUUGACGGUACCUCCAGAAGAAGGACCGGCCAACUACGUGCCAGCAGCCGCGGUAAUACGUAGGGUCCUAGCGUUAUCCGGAAUCAUUGGGCGUAAAGAGCUCGUAGGCGGUUCAGCAAGUCGGCUGUGAAAGUCCGAGGCUUAACCUCGGAAUUGCAGUCGAUACUGCUGUGACUCGAGUCCGGUAGAGGAGAAUGGAAUUCUCGGUGUAGCGGUGAAAUGCGCAGAUAUCGNGAGGAACACCAGUAGCGAAGGCGGUUCUCUGGGCCGGCACUGACGCUGAGGAGCGAAAGCGUGGGGAGCAAACAGGAUUAGAUACCCUGGUAGUCCACGCUGUAAACGUUGGAUACUAGGUGUGGCGGUUGUACCAACGACUGCCGUGCCGAAGCUAACGCAUUAAGUAUCCCGCCUGGGGAGUACGGCCGCAAGGCUAAAACUCAAA